UACGUAGGGACCAAGCGUUGUUCGGAUUUACUGGGCGUAAAGGGCGCGUAGGCGGCGUGACAAGUCACUUGUGAAAUCUCCGGGCUUAACUCGGAAAGGUCAACUGAUACUGUGCGACUAGAGUGCAGAAGGGGCAACUGGAAUUCUCGGUGUAGCGGUGAAAUGCGUAGAUAUCGAGAGGAACACCUGCGGCGAAGGCGGGUUGCUGGGCUGACACUGACGCUGAGGCGCGAAAGCCAGGGGAGCGAACGGG
rnacentral:rRNA from 1 species